rnacentral:rRNA from 1 species
UACGUAGGGCGCAAGCGUUGUCCGGAAUUAUUGGGCGUAAGAGAGCUGUAGGCGGUCUGUUACGUCCGCUGUGAAAACCCAGGGCUUAACCCUGGGCUUGCAGUGGAUACGGGUAGACUAGAGGCAGGUAGGGGAGAAUGGAAUUCCCGGUGUAGCGGUGAAAUGCGCAGAUAUCGGGAGGAACACCGGGUGGCGAAGGCGGUUCUCUGGGCCUGACCUGGACGCUGAGAGCGAAAGCGUGGGGAGCGAACAGG